rnacentral:rRNA from 1 species
AGUGAACGCUGGCGGUAGGCCUAACACAUGCAAGUCGAACGGCAGCACAGUAAGAGCUUGCUCUUACGGGUGGCGAGUGGCGGACGGGUGAGGAAUACAUCGGAAUCUACUUUUUCGUGGGGGAUAGCGUAGGGAAACUUACGCUAAUACCGCAUACGACCUACGGGUGAAAGCAGGGGAUCUUCGGACCUUGCGCGAUUGAAUGAGCCGAUGUCGGAUUAGCUAGUUGGCGGGGUAAAGGCCCACCAAGGCGACGAUCCGUAGCUGGUCUGAGAGGAUGAUCAGCCACACUGGAACUGAGACACGGUCCAGACUCCUACGGGAGGCAGCAGUGGGGAAUAUUGGACAAUGGGCGCAAGCCUGAUCCAGCCAUACCGCGUGGGUGAAGAAGGCCUUCAGGUUGUAAAGCCCUUUUGUUGGGAAAGAAAAGCAGCAGGUUAAUACCCCGCUGUUCUGACGGUACCCAAAGAAUAAGCACCGGCUAACUUCGUG